UGCUGCUACUGCUACCAGUGUUGGUUGCUGUAGAAUUUUCAAACGAGAACGCAUCAUACACCUUGGUGUUCAAAAUUCACGAGAAAAUAGGCAAGAAAAGCAACUGUAAUGAGUUCCGUGGGAUAAAAA
rnacentral:lncRNA from 1 species